UUCUUAUUUGUAAAAGAACCCAUGAUCAAGGAAACUAGAUGCAUAGCUGGUAUAUGUGAUUUGUUUGGAUGUGCUUAUCAUGGCAAAGUUUAUGGCCUAUGGUAAUUGCAAUCGACGAAUCUUUCACUGAUGAACAUUGGUUGCAGGAUUAAAUUUGAAUAAAAAGUGAAGAUUUUAUUUGGUGAUAUGGAUAAAAUUAUUCCAUAAGGUUCAUGGUUACACACUUGAAUGCAGGAAAAACUCAUACAAGUAUGUUCAAGGGAGUAAUUUUCCCUCCUUUAAUA
rnacentral:misc_RNA from 1 species